GCAUGGUUGCAACUUGCAACGUGAACACCGCUCCUACUUAUUCUGAUGGAAGGUGAGUUGGAAUAAGAUUUACAUGUGCAAUGACCUAGGAUUAUGCAGAUAAUGGAAUUUGAGUUGGUGCGGAACAUGCACUCUAAUGAAGGAUGCUAACUUAUUGUCCUGAGGAGAGCUGCUGCUACCAUUGACCGGAAUGAAGACAAAGGAUCAAUUUAGGUGGUGAAUGGAAGACUUAAUUGGAGCAACCUGUAUAGAGCCAAAGAACAACGACAGUAAGAAGUAGAUUUCCUGUUCGUUUACAUGGGGCACUUCCUCUCUAGCCUUGAACAAGAUUUCAUCUGUUUUGUCAGACCAAAAGCUGUAGAAACUAGAAAGAACUCUGGUAAUCUGUCAAAGCUUACUUGGCCUGAAACUAUUUAUUUUCUCUUUAUCUUUGCAGGAUGAAGGAUUUAUCUUCUUCUUGCCUUUUUAAUUUUUCCAUGUAUCAUGUUACUCGUCAAAGCGAAGCAAUAAAAAAACUCCAGCAACAUACACUGAAAUUGUCACUUUUAAAAAGGAACGGGCAGAAACCAUGGUGUGGCUUGGUGGGUGCGGACGUCAAAUUGACCAUUAAUUAACACCCAGCACCUCGAUCCAGAUUUCUUUCAUGGAAAAUGGAAAGCCUGUCAUGUGUACCUCUAAUGCAAAAAUAGGCAAGCACACGAGAAGAAUUGAUCGAACACGUUCUCAGCCUGACUGCCUGAGUUAAAUAGUACAUCCAUGAAAGCUGUCAAAUCAUUUUGUUUUAUUAUGUUUUUUCUCAUUAUGUAGCGAACUAGCAAUAUAUUAUGCUUUUUCCGUUUUGGGAUGUCCCCGUGUUCUUAGGCCAUGUGUACAUGAUUUCCGUUUUGUAUUCACUUCAGUUUAUCUGCCUGGUCAUCUAGAUGAUUUUCACAUAUAUUUCUUUGGCAAACUGCAGCUGGGAGCGGUGUAUAGGAUGUUCAGUGUUGCAUGUUCUGGUAAGUAACUUGGAUGCUACACAUGUGGACAACGACUUGCUUCACUUUUAUCAGGCUGACUAAACAGGUGCCAUUAACUCCUACAAUGGCAUGUUUUUUCCUCAGAUGCCAGAUAAUGUUCAGUUGAAAGAGAUGGCUAUGAGGUGCGUGCAAGUACAAGCGUGAAAUGAGGUACCCCUAUCUUACACUUUUUUCUCAUAAAAAACGGUACAUGCUUCUCUUCAUUUCGUUUUCAUUUUCUAUGUGCAGUGUCAAUUUGUUAUUCACCAAAGUGAUAUGAAAAUGAAGAUCCUGUAACUGAAGUUCCAUCCUCCUACAUAACACAUCCCUUUUCGCAGAAUAAAUGGUCACAACUUUUUCAUAUGUGUGUAAUUAAAUCUCAAGUUUCAUGCUCUGAAUUAUGAAACAAAUUUUAUGUUAAACAUGACUAGAUUUCUUCUGGUUGUAUUAAAUAUUGAUGUAUCACAAAAUAUCCAGUUAUCAAACAUGUGCAUGUAGGUAAAAUAUUUCUAUUCAUUUUGGUUAAAUAUUAAUUAAUGUGUUUUUCUCAACAUAUAGGCGGUGUCUCUGGCGGAAUGGCAAGAUGCCCAGUCUGAUGACCUAGGUCUGUGGCAAGUUGAUGGACCUCGACUAUAGGAACAUCACCGAGGCAAUCGAUAGUAGGUUGCUCAAUUGCUAACACAACAUGUUUUGAAUUGUAAAAUUAAGUUUGUUUUUUUGUUUAUUUUUUCUGACUGAAAGUGCCAGUUGGUGUUGUUGUAUAACAUAUUUUGAAUUACAAAAUUAAUUCUCUGGUUACACGCAUGGGAUUGUUUCUUCAACUUUUCCGCACGUCACUGACUUAGCCACGCCACCAGGC
rnacentral:lncRNA from 1 species